rnacentral:rRNA from 1 species
GGUGAACGCUGGCGGCGUGCCUAAUACAUGCAAGUCGAGCGAACUUUUGGGAGCUUGCUCCCAAAAGUUAGCGGCGGACGGGUGAGUAACACGUGGGCAACCUGCCUAUAAGACUGGGAUAACUUCGGGAAACCGGAGCUAAUACCGGAUAACAUAUGAUACCACAUGGUCUCAUAUUAAAAGAUGGCUUUUAGCUAUCACUUAUAGAUGGGCCCGCGGCGCAUUAGCUAGUUGGUGAGGUAAUGGCUCACCAAGGCGACGAUGCGUAGCCGACCUGAGAGGGUGAUCGGCCACACGGGGACUGAGACACGGCCCAGACUCCUACGGGAGGCAGCAGUAGGGAAUCUUCCGCAAUGGACGAAAGUCUGACGGAGCAACGCCGCGUGAGCGAAGAAGGUCUUCGGAUCGUAAAGCUCUGUUGUUAGGGAAGAACAAGUACCGUUCAAAUAGGGCGGUACCUUGACGGUACCUAACCAGAAAGCCACGGCUAACUACGUGCCAGCCGCCGCAGUAA